UGGGGAAUAUUGGACAAUGGGGGGAACCCUGAUCCAGCCAUGCCGCGUGUGUGAAGAAGGCCUUUUGGUUGUAAAGCACUUUAAGCGAGGAGGAGGCUCCCAGUAUUAAUACUACUGGAGAGUGGACGUUACUCGCAGAAUAAGCACCGGCUAACUCUGUGCCAGCAGCCGCGGUAAUACAGAGGGUGCAAGCGUUAAUCGGAUUUACUGGGCGUAAAGCGUGCGUAGGUGGCCAAUUAAGUCAAAUGUGAAAUCCCCGAGCUUAACUUGGGAAUUGCAUUCGAUACUGGUUGGCUAGAGUAUGGGAGAGGAUGGUAGAAUUCCAGGUGUAGCGGUGAAAUGCGUAGAGAUCUGGAGGAAUCCGAUGGCGAAGGCAGCCAUCUGGCCUAAUACUGACACU
rnacentral:rRNA from 1 species